rnacentral:rRNA from 1 species
UUUAUGGAGAGUUUGAUCCUGGCUCAGGAUGAACGCUGGCGGCGUGCCUAAUACAUGCAAGUCGAGCGAACGGACGAGAAGCUUACUUCUCUGAUGUUAGCGGCGGACGGGUGAGUAACACGUGGAUAACCUACCUAUAAGACUGGGAUAACUUCGGGAAACCGGAGCUAAUACCGGAUAAUAUUUUGAACCGCAUGGUUCAAAAGUGAAAGACGGUCUUGCUGUCACUUAUAGAUGGAUCCGCGCUGCAUUAGCUAGUUGGUAAGGUAACGGCUUACCAAGGCAACGAUGCAUAGCCGACCUGAGAGGGUGAUCGGCCACACUGGAACUGAGACACGGUCCAGACUCCUACGGGAGGCAGCAGUAGGGAAUCUUCCGCAAU